CACCCCAUCUUCACUUUGCCAUAAGGAUACCUGUGUCCUCUGUGGUCAUUCCUGUGGGGUAGAGUAUCACCUCCUUAAACACUCCAGUCUGACUAUUGUUGGACCUGGGGUUGUGUUGAGGAGACAGCA
rnacentral:snoRNA from 1 species